AUCUAGCUGAUGAGUCCCAAAUAAGAUUAAAUGCGCAUCCUGGAU
rnacentral:hammerhead_ribozyme from 1 species